AGAAUUCACAAUAGAAUAAAAAUGGCUAUUGACAGUUGAAAAGAAAAAGGAAUGAAAAUUGAAAAUGGCUCAGGAAAAUGGUGUUUCGUGGAAAAUGAGCGUCUGGCGGGAUUCACUGAGAAGAGGGGUAUAAAAGGCUGCGAGCAUAAGAAAAGCCAAAGUUAAGAAUAAGACGUUACCGGUGAAACUUAGCUAGAGAGCAGUGAAGAAGUGGAAAAAUUUAAUUUGUGUGUUGCGAUUUUUUUAUUGUGAAUAUUCCGGUGGUGUAUCAAGCUUUUUUGGAAGCACCGAAAAUUGUCCGGUUUUGGUCAGCACAACGGCGGGAAAUUGCCUUUUCUUUUUGGUAACGCAAGGUAGUGGCAAGUUGUCCACAGGAGAAAAAAGCCAAAAAAAGUUACAUUGAGGGUGUGGAGAUUUGAAUUGUAAACUGGCCAGCUGCAACUUUGAGCUUUUUGCUGUGCCUGUUAUUGAUCCCGCCCAGAACGCCGGCAUUGUAAAAGGACCAGUCAACAAGUCCAGCUUCAUUUCAGGGUUUGCCUGGCGUUCAAAAUCUGUUUCCUCCGGAAAGAAGCGUAAACUGGAAGAAGAGAUAAGAAGAAUUAAUCAAUAACGUUAUAAAUCACUGCUCAGGUAAAAGGUGUCUUACCGUUGUGUUGUCCUUGAUAGAUAUAUUUAUAUAUAUAUGUGACGUCCAUAAAAUUUGCUGUCUCCUUUUUUGGAACUAAAAGAAAAGAAAAAAAGAGUUAAUAAUCAUAAAUUUCGAGAAAAAAAAUAUAAUAUUCAGUAUAAAGAUUUAGUAAUAAGAUAGGUUAUAGUUCUUAGGAUUUAAGUAAUAAUCAGUUUGUAAGGGAAAAAUACCGCGUUUAUUUUCAAAGGCUAGGAGGUGUUACAGUAAAAUUAUCUUGAGUCCUUGUGAUUCGAUCUGAUAGUUUAGGCCGUGGAAUUUUAGCGGCAAUUAGGCCGGUUAAGAGAGCUCUUUUAGGUGGCUAGUAAUUUCGUAUAGACGCGUGAAUAUUGCGCGGGAAAAGCAAGGCAAAGGAUAAUAUAUUGGUUUCUACCGAGUAAUUAAAGCCAUAGAUUUAAGAAAGCCCGGUAUUAUUCUUAAUUUGUUUUUUUUUAUACCAUACAGUUUGUCAAUUUUAGUGUAAGAAAAAAAAUAGUAGAGAAAAAAAUUAAGAAAAUAUUUAAAGCUAACUUAUUUUUUUUAAUAAAAUUAAAAAUGAUUCUUUUGUAAACAGUA